AAAAAGGCAAACCGUGGGUUCCCGUACCAACGUUUGACUGUCCAUCUUAUAUAAAAAUUUUUUAUAAUUAGUAUUUUCAUUGUUGUUAGAUGAUAAAACAUGAUUAAUACUUUGUGCGUGACUUAUCUUUUUAAUUUUUUCAUAUUUUUUUCAAAUAAGACGAACGGUCAAACGUUGGACACGGAAACCAGGGUUUGUCUUUUU
rnacentral:pre_miRNA from 1 species